rnacentral:rRNA from 1 species
UACGAACUGUGCAAACGUUAUUCGGAAUCACUGGGCUUAAAGGGUGCGUAGGCGGCUUUGAAGGUCUGAUGUGAAAGCCCACGGCUCAACCGUGGAAUUGCGUUGGAAACCACAAAGCUUGAGGAGAUCAGAGGUGAGCGGAACUGAUGGUGGAGCGGUGAAAUGCGUUGAUAUCAUCAGGAACACCGGUGGCGAAAGCGGCUCACUGGGAUCUUUCUGACGCUGAGGCACGAAAGCCAGGGGAGCGAACGGG